GACAAAUCCAGCUGUCAGGCAUCCAGACUCUUGUAAGUCUGGAGAAAAACACUGGAUGUGAAUCUGCAGCAGGGAAUCGUAGGCGCUGCUCCUCUUCGGAUUAUCGCAGCAGCUCUCAGAAGGUAUCUGUAUCUACAAAGCCAAUCCCCACUAAGGCCAAAUCUACCUUUGGGGGACAGAAGGGACUUUGGAGUACAAAGGGAAAUCCAGCUUGCCUUCUCCAGCAAAUGGUCUCAAAGCUGGAAUAGACGCCUGUGGAGUUGCUCAGAAGCUGUGUUAGCAAGAGACCAGACCUGACCUUGAGAGACUGAGAUGGAAGCUUUGGCUCUGUGGAGAGAAGUUGUACAGAGCACCAAACAAGAAACCAGAGGAUGAGUGCUCUGAGAACUGAAAACAGGAACUUGAACUAUUUGCAUGGCAGUGAUCAUUAUUGAACUGAAAGCAGAGUCUUGGAUAUAUACUUGCACACUCGCAAUCACGGCUUCAUUGUUCACCGAAGUCGGACGACAGAAGCAAGCCAGUGUCCAUUAACAGCUGAACAACAAGACAUGGCGGAUAUAUCAGUGUACAUUGUUUUUCCUUGAAGAGGAAGAAAAUUCUGACAUGGUACAAGGUAGAUGAACCCUGAGGACAUCUUCCUGAGUGAGCCAAGACAAGUAGUGUGUGAUUCUGUCACGGAGAUGGGAAGUGAAAUGGUAGUUGCCAGCGGCAGGAGAGGGGAGCAGAGGGGGUCAGUGUUUGCUGGGCACGGCGGUUCAGUUUGCCAGCACUGUGUCUAAUGAGGUACGCACCAGGAGGAGGGGAAGCACAUGGGAAAGCGAACUGUUCACCUCGUGCCAGGAAGAACGAGAAAAGGAAAGGACUAGAGUCCCACAGUCCUCUGUGAGGGCAUGCCUGGAGUGACGUUAAGGAAUCCCCAGCAGGCCUCACUUCCUAAGGAUUCCACAACCUCCAACAUCAUCACCUUGGGAACAACACUUUGUACAUAUGUUAAAUAUAAAAGACUAAUUUCUUUAAUAUGUAAAGAGCUUUUGUGAAUAAAUUAAGAACAUACUAACUCAUCACAAAGUGGCAAAAGAUUCUCCAUUC